rnacentral:rRNA from 1 species
UACGAAGGGGGGCUAGCGUUGCUCGGAAUCACUGGGCGUAAAGGGCGCGUAGGCGGACUCUUAAGUCGGGGGUGAAAGCCCAGGGCUCAACCCUGGAAUUGCCUUCGAUACUGAGAGUCUUGAGUUCGGAAGAGGUUGGUGGAGCUGCGAGUGUAGAGGUGAAAUUCGUAGAUAUUCGCAAGAACACCAGUGGCGAAGGCGGCCAACUGGUCCGAUACUGACGCUGAGGCGCGAAAGCGUGGGGAGCAAACAGG